rnacentral:rRNA from 1 species
AUGAACUGGCACCCCAGCGGUGUGUACUUGGCCGGCUUGGCUUAUCUGGCUCAAUUCUUGGGCUCCUUUCCGAGGUUCUUCAGCGAUAAAAUCUGGAAGGCGCAUGCAUAGCCAAAGUGUAAGCUCUUCUCCUGGCUCAUCCACCGCAACAGGAUCCUCACGGCUCAUCGGCUGGCCACACGUGGUUGGCUGCAUGACCCUAUAUGCAGCUUUGCUUUACUGCCCUUGAGACCGUUAACCAUCUCUGCAAGGAUUGUACAUUCACUUCCGCCGUCCGCCGCCUUGUGUUGUCCGACAGCCACCUCCCCCUCAAUUGUCGGUUGGUGGGAUGGUAGCCUCAAGGACAACGACAACACUCUGAGGAGGUGGUGCAGUGGCUUCCUCAUUUAUAUAAUUUGGAAUUCCUGGAAGGAUAGGAACCACCACAUCUUUGAAGGCACGAUACUGACAUACGUCGAGGUGGCCCAACUCGUCUACGAGGAAAUCUGGCAACGGUAA